rnacentral:rRNA from 1 species
UGACGACCGGCGCACGGGUGCGUAACGCGUAUAGAACCUACCUUAUAUUGGGGGAUAGCCCAGAGAAAUUUGGAUUAAUACCCCAUGGUAUGCUAGAGUGGCAUCACUUUAGUAUUAAAGAUUUAUCGAUAUAAGAUGGCUAUGCGUUCUAUUAGCUAGUUGGUAAGGUAACGGCUCACCAAGGCGACGAUAGAUAGGGGUCCUGAGAGGGAGAUCCCCCACACUGGUACUGAGACACGGACCAGACUCCUACGGGAGGCAGCAGUGAGGAAUAUUGGACAAUGGAGGCAACUCUGAUCCAGCCAUGCCGCGUGCAGGAAGACUGCCCUAUGGGUUGUAAACUGCUUUUAUAGAGGAAGAAACCGCUCUACGUGUAGAGCUCUGACGGUACUCUACGAAUAAGGAUCGGCUAACUCCGUGCCAGCAGCCGCGGUAAUACGGAGGAUCCAAGCGUUAUCCGGAAUCAUUGGGUUUAAAGGGUCCGUAGGCGGGCUUAUAAGUCAGUGGUGAAAGUUUGCGGCUCAACCGUAAAAUUGCCAUUGAUACUGUAGGUCUUGAAUCAUUGUGAAGUGGUUAGAAUGUGUAGUGUAGCGGUGAAAUGCAUAGAUAUUACACAGAAUACCGAUUGCGAAGGCAGAUCACUAACAAUUGAUUGACGCUCAGGGACGAAAGCGUGGGUAGCGAACAGGAUUAGAUACCCUGGUAGUCCACGCCGUAAACGAUGGUUACUAGCUGUUUGGACUUCGGUCUGAGUGGCUAAGCGAAAGUGAUAAGUAACCCACCUGGGGAGUACGUUCGCAAGAAUGAAACUCAAAGGAAUUGACGGGGGCCCGCACAAGCGGUGGAGCAUGUGGUUUAAUUCGAUGAUACGCGAGGAACCUUACCAGGCUUAAAUGUAGUCUGACAGCUUUAGAGAUAGAGUUUUCUUCG